rnacentral:lncRNA from 1 species
UGGAUGUUUAGAAAUUUGAACUUAAACCCUAAACCCGAACGGCGGGCAAGGAACACCGUUUGAAUGGUGAAAUUGGUGAGGGCUCAAUUACGUCGCUCAUUUGCGAUCAUAAUAUCCUACUUAUUUACACGAGGUCCAGGUUUGCCUCGGUGAGAAGUGAAUCGAACAAUAUGGAGGAACUUGCUUGACAUUGUUGGGUUAACCAGGAGGCCACUUCAUCUGUCUUCCACCCA